CAAGUUUUUCUAAAAAGUUGAGAAAUGUAUACAAUCCACAAUCCAUACAUCCUUGCAAUUAAUGUCAAUUUAAAGCACCUCAUCCAAAAUUUUAGUUUCAUUAGUUACAUUAGUAACUUUAUCCUGUAAACUAGUUCGGAUUCUCCGGCCUAAAUAUUAUGGAUAACUCCGUGUUCCUUACAUUUAUUGUAGGCUGCAUUGUGGGUUAUUUGAUAGGCCAGCACCGUUAAAAAGACGCAUAACUCGGCUUUGCCUUUCAGGUUAUGCAUACAAAUUGAAAACAUUUAAUCGAAAUGGAGAUAGAUUGGCUGAUCACAUUUGUUGUUGGCUGCUUGGUGGGAUACUUGUUGGCCAGGAAUACCUAGAGUAAGAUGAAUCCUUAAAGAACUAACGGAUCUCCUUUACAAAUCUGAAUUUGCCAAAGAACACCUUGAACGCUCGUGAACAUCAAAAUCUCUCCUGAAGUGCUAGCAAUUUUUUUCUUGUGGAGUUUACUUAUCUUUCGGGAUCAAGAGUCGCAAAUCCUUUCGGAUUAUCCCAAUCCGAAUUAAAGAAGCAAAAUGAGCCACGUUAUCUCAUUUGCCUUGGGCGUGAUUAUUGGAAUGAUGUCCUGCCGAAAAUGCUAACCCCUUAAAAUGUUAUCUAAAUUUGCUUAAUAAUGCUUAAUAAAUAUUAAAGCUUAUAAAAAAA